rnacentral:rRNA from 1 species
GUGGCAGCCGCCGCGGUAAUACGGAGGGUGCAAGCGUUAUCCGGAUUCAUUGGGUUUAAAGGGUGCGCAGGCGGAUUAUUAAGUUAGUGGUGAAAUCCCGGGGCUCAACCUCGGAACUGCCAUUAAUACUGGUAAUCUGGAAUACGGUUGAAGUGGGCGGAAUGUAGCAUGUAGCGGUGAAAUGCAUAGAGAUGCUACAGAACACCGAUCGCGAAGGCAGCUCACUAAGCCGAUAUUGACGCUCAGGCACGAAAGCGUGGGGAGCGAACAGGAUUAGAUACCCUGGUAGUCCACGCCGUAAACGAUGAUAACUCGUUGUUGGCGAUAUACAGUCAGCGACUAAGCGAAAGCGAUAAGUUAUCCACCUGGGGAGUACGAUCGCAAGGUUGAAACUUAAAGGAAUUGACGG